UACGUAGGGCGCAAGCGUUAUCCGGAGUUACUGGGCGUAAAGCGCGGGCAGGCGGUCUGACAAGUCUGAUGUGAAAUCUCCGGGCUUAACCGGGAGAGGCCAUUGGAAACUGACAGGCUGGAGGGCAGUAGAGGUAGGCGGAAUUCCGGGUGGAGUGGUGAAAUGCGUAGAGAUCCGGAGGAACACCAGAGGCGAAGGCGGCCUACUGGGCUGCACCUGACGCUGAGCCGCGAAAGCCAGGGGAGCGAACGGG
rnacentral:rRNA from 1 species